UCAAAUAAUUAAUAUAAAAAAUAUAUAUAAUAAUAAUUAUUAUUUUUCUAGCAUAUCCGAGAAGAACCAUAGUCAUGGCAGCAUUAAAUGCUGCCUUGAUGAGUAAUAGACAUAAUGAAGGCUGCAUUAAUGAAGUGUGGAAAAAUUCUUCAUCCUCUGACACAUGGUAAUUAUUCUUUGCAAUAAUACUUGCAAGUUACAUCAUUUGCCAUCUUAUAUAAAUCGGUACAUGCACUUUCUUUCACCAUAAAACAUCACCAUCAUAUAUCCUAAUCAUCCCUUCACAAACCCCACAUAAUCCCUUCACACACCCCACAUACUAUUUCCUCUGCCACUCCAAUUCCACAUCUAACAGAGGAGUCCAAGGAGGAAGAUUUGCACACACUUGUAGAAUCAAGUCCCUAAUCCAACAACACCUCGUCCCCACAUAAAAAGGGUACGUCCGCAAGUAAAGUCGGAACGAAUGAUUCAAGCUAAGGGAACUAAACAUUCCAGGUUGAGCAGCGAAGUGGUGGAGGAAGUGCUAUUGAGACAAGACAUUUAAUUCAGUCAGAUUUU